rnacentral:rRNA from 1 species
ACGGAGGGUGCGAGCGUUAAUCGGAAUCACUGGGCGUAAAGCGCACGUAGGCGGUGUCGUAAGUCGGAUGUGAAAGCCCUCGGCUCAACCGGGGAACUGCAUUCGAUACUGCGACGCUUGAGUGCCGGAGAGGGUGGCGGAAUUCCAGGUGGAGGACGGAAAUCCGUAGAUAUCUCGAGGAACACCAGUGGCGAAGGCGGCUACCUGGCCGGCAACUGACGCUGAUGUGCGAAAGCGUGGAGAUCAAACAG